rnacentral:rRNA from 1 species
GAUGAACGCUGGCGGCGUGCCUAAUACAUGCAAGUCGAACGAACGGACGAGAAGCUUGCUCUUCUGAGGUUAGCUGCGGACGGGUGAGUAACACGUGGGUAACCUACCUAUAAGAGGGGGAUAACUUCGGGAAACGGUAGCUAAUACCGCAUGAUAUUUUGAACCGCAUGGUUUAUAAGUGAAAGACGGUAUUGCUGCAAUAUAUAGAUGAAUUGCCGCUGCAUAAGCUGGUUGGGAAGGUAAGGGCUUACCAAGGCACCGAUGCUAAGCCGACCUGAGAGGGUGAUAGGCAACCCUGGAACUGAGCAACGGUCAAGACUCCUACGGGAGGAGGAAGUGGGGAACCUCCGGCAUUGGGGGAACGCCUACCGGAGCACCGCGGCGGGGGUGAUGAAGGUCUCCGGUCCGUAAACCUCUGUUAUAGUGGAAGACCAUAUGUGUAAGUAACUGUGCACACCUUGACGGUACCUAAUCAGAAAGCCACGGCUAACUACGUG